rnacentral:rRNA from 1 species
CCCCUAGAUGUUCUGGGCCGCACGCGCGCUACACUGAACAGUUCGACAAGUCUUAACCUUGGCCGAUAGGUCUGGGUAAUCUUUGAACGCUGUUCGUGAUUGGGAUAGACCUUUGCAAUUAUGGGUCUUCAACGAGGAAUUCCUAGUAAACGCAAGUCAUCAGCUUGCAUUGAUUACGUCCCUGCCCUUUGUACACACCGCCCGUCGCACCUACCGAUUGAAUGGUCCGGUGAAAUCUCGGGACGGCGGCUUGGUCGCUUGCGUCCGACUGCUGAAACUUGAUUAAACCAUAUCAUUUAGAGGAAGGUGAANUCGUANCA